rnacentral:rRNA from 1 species
GAAACCUACGGGACGCAGCAGUGGGGAAUAUUGGGCAAUGGGCGCAAGCCUGACCCAGCAACGCCGCGUGAAGGAAGAAGGCCUUCGGGUUGUAAACUUCUUUUCUCAGGGACGAAGCAAGUGACGGUACCUGAGGAAUAAGCCACUGCUAACUACGUGCCAGCAGCCGCGGUAAUAUGUAGGUGGCAAGCGUUAUCCGGAUUUACUGGGUGUAAAGGGCGUGUAGGCGGGAAAGCAAGUCAGAUGUGAAAAUCAAGGGCUCAACCUGUGGCC